rnacentral:rRNA from 1 species
GACGAACGCUGGCGGCGUGCCUAAUACAUGCAAGUAGAACGCUGAAGGAGGAGCUUGCUUCUCUGGAUGAGUUGCGAACGGGUGAGUAACGCGUAGGUAACCUGCCUGGUAGCGGGGGAUAACUAUUGGAAACGAUAGCUAAUACCGCAUAAUAGUAGAUGUUGCAUGAUAUUUGCUUAAAAGGUGCAAUUGCAUCACUACCAGAUGGACCUGCGUUGUAUUAGCUAGUUGGUGGGGUAACGGCUCACCAAGGCGACGAUACAUAGCCGACCUGAGAGGGUGAUCGGCCACACUGGGACUGAGACACGGCCCAGACUCCUACGGGAGGCAGCAGUAGGGAAUCUUCGGCAAUGGACGGAAGUCUGACCGAGCAACGCCGCGGGAGUGAAGAAGGUUUUCGGAUCGUAAAGCUCUGUUGUAAGAGAAGAACGAGUGUGAGAGUGGAAAGUUCACACUGUGACGGUAGCUUACCAGAAAGGGACGGCUAACUACGUG